ACAUGUUUGUGUCACCCAGCACAGAGGCUGGCAGAUAUUCCUGUGCUCUUGAUAUUAACUUAAAACAUCGCUCCUCUUCUGUGUGUAUUUCUAAGAGUGGCUGCUGGGAUGUGUCUUACUCCUCUAGAAGAGUCUGUGCUUUGAUGGGCUCAACAGUAGAUAUUUCCAGCACAUACUCACAUUCCUCUGGUUAUACUGUAAAUAAAACAUUCUGGCAUUACGGUCGGCCUGGUGACUUCAGUGAUCUGCGUGAGGAGCUUCAGUUUGCUGGUCGUGUGGAGUAUGAGGGAAACACACUGAGAAUCAAAGAGCUCAAGAUGAACGACUCUGGAGAAUAUAAAUUCAGGAUCAUCACUGACACAGCAGAAGGAAAAUACUCUGGAUCACCUGGAGUCAUGCUUACUGUCACUGAUAUGACGGUGAUAAGCAGCCCAAACAUUAUAUCAGAGGGACAGGAAGUGAUAUUAAGCUGUUCAACUAAAUGCACUCUGAACAACAAUCAUAAUUACAUCUGGUUCAAGAACGGACGGCUGGUAACGGAUGGAUUCACUAAAGCCAACAAGCUGUACCUGGACUCAGUCAGCAAUGAAGAUCUUCAAGAGUAUUCCUGUGCUGUAGAAGGUGACACUUCUCUCAUGAUACAUGUGCUUUAGUUUGAAAUGAUUGUUUCUCUGAUGGUCAUGAUUCACUUCUUUGUGUUGUGAAUAUCCAGUGGACAGCACAGCGUUCAGCCAUUAUACAGUCAUUCUGGUGUUUGUACCUCAGUUUCUCAUUAUAGCGGCUCUGUGGAUGUGCUUUUUCAUCAGAAUGCAUCAAAUCUCAAAGCCAAACUGAAGACAAAAGUGAAGAAUCUCAUGUUCCACAUCUGUUCAUCUGCUGUCUGUCCAUCAGAGCUGGUGGAGUGAUGUCAUUGUGUUCUUCCAUUGUGAGAUCAUCACCUAGCAACAGUCAGAACUGUCAGCAGCAACAUCAGUGAUGUCAUAUCCAGUGACUUAUCAAUGACUGCGCAGUCUACAUAAUCA